AGGCGUUCAGGAGAUGAUCCGGCGUCCAGACGUCGUCGGAAUCGAGGAAAGCGACGAAGUCGCUGUCGGCAGGAACAUUAUCGAGACCG
rnacentral:sRNA from 1 species